GGGCCUGUAGCUCAGCUGGUUAGAGCAUCUGACUCAUAAUCAGAGGGUCCGCGGUUCGAGCCCGUGCAGGCCCA
rnacentral:tRNA from 1 species